rnacentral:rRNA from 1 species
GACGAACGCUGGCGGCGUGCUUAACACAUGCAAGUCGAACGGAAAGGCCCUGCUUUUGUGGGGUGCUCGAGUGGCGAACGGGUGAGUAACACGUGAGUAACCUGCCCUUGACUUUGGGAUAACUUCAGGAAACUGGGGCUAAUACCGGAUAGGGGCUCCUGCUGCAUGGUGGGGGUUGGAAAGUUUCGACGGUUGGGGAUGGACUCGCGGCUUAUCAGCUUGUUGGUGGGGUAGUGGCUUACCAAGGCUUUGACGGGUAGCCGGCCUGAGAGGGUGACCGGCCACAUUGGGACUGAGAUACGGCCCAGACUCCUACGGGAGGCAGCAGUGGGGAAUAUUGCACAAUGGGCGGAAGCCUGAUGCAGCAACGCCGCGUGCGGGAUGACGGCCUUCGGGUUGUAAACCGCUUUCGCCUGUGACGAAGCGUGAGUGACGGUAAUGGGUAAAGAAGCACCGGCUAACUACGUG